rnacentral:sRNA from 1 species
GAGUCAAAAUUCAUUUUUGUUGAGACAAAAUUCAUUUUUGUGAAACAAAAUUCACAAAAAUGAAUUUUGUCUCACAAAAGUCAAUUUUGUCUCAACAAAAAU